UCUGCUUUGUUCUUCAUCUAUACACAAAACGAAGUCAAGUAAUGGAGACUUCACGGAGGAGCCUGUAUGCAGGGUUCGUGAUUGUCCUCCUUCUCAUCGUCGUCACAGGCCAUGGGACGGCGCCUACUCAGGGAUUCGGUGAUGGCCCAGGCCCGCUACCCCCAUGCUAUCAUUGGAGUACUUACUAUCAUGGGCUCUGCGUUUGGAAUGAAAUCUGCACAGGUCUUUGCCGACGCCAGGAUCGCAGCCAAUUUAUUCGCGGCACGUGUCGUGGCUACCCUGCUAAAUGCUUUUGCCUCUCAUGCUGACCCAUAGUGGUGGUGGUGGGCAUAAUAAUAGUGUUGCCUCCAUGUAAUGUUGUCAUUUGGCCAAUCAUUUGAGAUGGUGAAAUAAAAUUGCUGGAGCUCUACA